UACGAGAACCCCAAGCGUUAUCCGGAAUCAUUGGGCGUAAAGGGUGUGUAGGUGGCGAUGUUAGUCUUCUGUUAAAAUCUUGGGCUUAACCCAAGACUUGCAGUGGAAACGGCAUGGCUCGAGGGUGCGAGAGGUGAAUGGAACUCAUGGAGUAGGGGUAAUAUCCGUUGAUAUCAUGGGGAACACCAAAAGCGAAGGCAAUUCACUGGCGCAUUCCUGACACUGAAACACGAAAGCGUGGGUAGCGAAUGGG
rnacentral:rRNA from 1 species